rnacentral:rRNA from 1 species
UACAGAGGUGGCGAGCGUUGUUCGGAAUUACUGGGCGUAAAGGGCGCGUAGGCGGCCUUCUAAGUCAGACGUGAAAUCCCCCGGCUUAACCUGGGAACUGCGUCUGAUACUGGGAGGCUUGAGUAUGGGAGAGGGAUGUAGAAUUCCAGGUGUAGCGGUGAAAUGCGUAGAUAUCUGGAGGAAUACCGGUGGCGAAGGCGGCAUCCUGGACCAUAACUGACGCUGAGGCGCGAAAGCUAGGGGAGCAAACAGG